UACGGAGGGUGCAAGCGUUAUCCGGAUUCACUGGGUUUAAAGGGAGCGUAGGAGGGCAGGUAAGUCAGUGGUGAAAUCUUCGAGCUUAACUCGGAAACUGCCGUUGAUACUAUCUGUCUUGAAUACCGUGGAGAUGAGCGGAAUAUGUCAUGUAGCGGUGAAAUGCUUAGAUAUGACAUAGAACACCGAUUGACGAAGGCAGCUCGUUACACGAAUAUUGACUC
rnacentral:rRNA from 1 species